UUCCGGGCUGCGGCGGGGCAGCUUUCCUACCCCUCGGGUGAGUAGCAGCGGCACACAGAGCCCGGGCCGAUCCUCCUGCCCGAUCGCGCGGCAUAUGGAGCGCGGUGGAUCCGGUGCAGAUGUGCUGCGCGCGGUCGGAGGUCAGGCUCUGCAGCCCAGGCGAAGCUGGGAGGAAACUCGAGCCUGUGACCCUGUCACCUUAGCAGGCGCAACCACGUGGUUCAGGGUCUGGGGACAUGGCCAGAAAGGCUAUCAAGCUUGCUUCGUGGACCAGCAUGGCUCUUGCUGCCUCCGGGGUCUACCUCUACAGCAACAGCUACUUGGACCCUAGUGACUUUGGCGCUGUCAGGGUGGGCAGAGCUGUUGCUACG
rnacentral:lncRNA from 1 species